GCAAAAACGUAUUGGGUCUAUUUAUUCGUGGCGCUUCCAGUGCUGGCAGGCUGGCGCCUGGCAGCUACGUACCAGUAAACGAUUGGCCACCUACAUGUGAGGACAGGGCCUCUUUGCUCUGCACUCGUGUCAUCAAGGAAUCACAGGAUGCAGCUCCAAUCAAAAUUGAGAGAAGAUCAAAACUCCUAAAUCAAUCAGACUUGUGUGUCCAUCUAUACUCGUACAUGUCACAGCCAUCAUAGUUACAACCUUGCACUCAAAACAUCCUGGCUGAAGUAGGAGAGCAGACACAAAGAUCGUGUCUGGAUCCAAGUCCGAUGGCUCCUACAAGUCUUCAGGAAGCCACAAAAACUAACUGUCUGAUGUCUCCUGCAAAUUUUCCAGUGGAUACAAACUCUUCAAUAUCACAGUCUCACAGCCUAAUGUCUUUUGCAAAUUCUCCAGAGGAAGCAAAACCUGAUGGUGUAAUGUCUCAUAUAAGUUCUCAAGAGGACACAAAACUUGACUCUCUAAUAUCUCAUACAAGAACCAAAGAGAAAAUAAAAUCUGACUGUGUAAUACCUUUUGCAAAAUGUUCAGAGGAGACACAACCUGACUCUCUUGUCUCUUGUAAGAAAUGUCCAGUGGAGAAACAGUCUCACAGUCUGCUGGGUCAUAAAUGUCCAGAGGAGAUGCAGUCUGCCAGUCAGGAAGACAUGCACUGUGCCUCAUGCACUGGCCAAGGUAAAACCCAGGCAGGAAGAGAGAUUGUAAAGUCAAAUGAGCUGCUACUUCUCCAGCUUGAGGAAGUGAAAGCACUGAAGAGAAUACCCAUGAGGAUGAUCCCACCAGGAGCUGCGUCACGUGUGCCUUUGGUUUAUAAUAUGCUUGUGUUACGGAGGACUCAUUAUUCUAAAGGAAAAUGCUUUGCUAUGUCUGCUAGUUUUGUUGAGGGCUCUGAUGGUUCCUUGACCAUCAUGAGAACUUCGUAAUUCUAAUCUGCUUUUAGCUUGGUACUGACCCACACUCCUGGCAUUCAGUCCUGUUUGAUGCCAGUGUGGAUGAGGGUAGUUAGGCGAAAGCAUUCUAUACACGAUACCCUUCCCUAGGCUGCUUGAUUAAGUUAAGCAGCUUUAGGAAAGUAAAUAUCCUGUCGUGAAUGCUUUCGCCCAACUGGCCUCAUCCACACUGGCAUUGAGCAGAUCUGAAUCCCAGCUGCGUAGGUGGUUACCAGGUUAGUGGAACACCCUAAGUGUGUGCUGUUGCAUGUGCAAAGUUUGUGGUAAUCUUCAUCUGGCAACCUGUAUCAGCCAAAACAUUUUGUACUUGUUUGGAACAGAAGGCUUCCAGCGCUGCCUGCAGGAGGUCACGUGGCCCACCAGUGUUUGGUCUGCUGUUAGAGAGGGAGUUUGUCCCUUCCAGUGUUCUCUUGUGAUAUGCUUUUAUAUCCGGAUGGUUAGUUUCUUACAUCCAGACACAUGAUUGAAAUGGGAUGCAAGAAUGUAUGAGAAUGUCUGGAGAAAUAGUCACAAGGGAACACCAGAAGGGACAGCCUCCCUCUCCGGCAGCACUUCAAACCCUGAUGGGCCACGUGACCCCCUGCAGGCAGCACUAGAAGCCUAGUGUUCUACUGUCACUCCCAAACAAGUGCAAAAUGUCUUAGCUGAUCCAGACUGCCAGAUGAAGACAUCACAUGCACUGGGUGUUGACUUAGCAGUCAUGUUUUACUUGGUUCACCACUACCCUAUUACACCUGCUCCAAUCCUUGGACCACAGCAGAUGCAGGGUACUUCCUGUAGGACACAGGAAGUACCCUGUAUCAGCUGUGGUCUGAAGAUUGGAUGGAGUAGAUGUGGGGUAGGGAAAAUGGUCUUAUUAUGAAGGGGCAGAAUUAAACUUUAGGUGACAGGCCUUGGUGUGAAUGUCCACAAAGCAACACAUACAUACACACAUCCACAUCACUCACACCCAUCAGCAGCUGAUGGAAUGGGAUAGUUCUACCAUAAUACCCUAAGAGCUUAGACAUAGCAACCCAGGACUAUCUAUCCCUUUCCAUCAGCUGCUGAUGGGUGCACGUGUGAGUGAUGUGGAUGUGUGAACAUGUUGCUUUACCAGCAUCCUGUGUGGAUUUCACGGGCCUGAUAAAUAAUAGUCUAUGUUGUACUUUUUUGUCUGUCUUAGCCAAGCCAGUCAAGUCAACCCAGUCAGUAUGUUGUAAUAUCAGUUUGUUUAUUAAGUCUGACAAAAAGCCAUUUUCAGACUAAUAAACAAACUGAUAUUACAACAUAAUGACUAGAUCAGCCAAUACAACUUACUGGAUCAGCCAAGACAAAAAAUUUGAAAUUUUCAAAAAGCCAUUUUUCAAAAUUUUUUUCUGUCUUGGCUGAUCCAGUCAGUAUAUUUGUAUAAUAUCAGUUUGUUUAUUAGCCUGAAAAUGGCUUUUUUCAAGAGUCUUCGUUUUUUUUCUCUGUCUUGGCUGAUCCAGUAUAUUUAUUAUUGUCUUGGCUGAUAUUGGCUGAUAUGUCAUGUCAUUUUUUUUUGUUUGUCUUGGCUGAUCCAGUCAGUAUAUAUUGUAAUAAUAUCAUCAGUGUUUAUUAAUUAGCCUGAAAAUGGCUUUUAUUAAUUAGCCUGAAAAUGGCUUUUUGAGUAAUUUUUUUGUUUCUUGGCUGAUCCAGUAUUGUUUGUUGUAAUAUCGGUUUGUUUAUUAGUAUGAAAAUGGUUUGCUUAUUAGUCUUGAAAAUGGUGUUUUAGUUUGAAAAUGGCUUUUUGAAAAUGUCAAAUUUUUUUUGUCUGUCUUGCUUGGCUGAUCUAGUAGUUGUAUUGCUUUUUUCUGUAAUUCUACUUAGGGAAGUAGAAAUUAUGAAGAUGUUGGGAAGUAGAAAUUAUGAAGAUGUUGGGUAAUAGGGAAAGUAGAAGUUACUACUAUGUUAUGGGAAAGAAAUUUGACGUGUUAUGGGAAAGAAUAAAUUUUUAUAAAAUGUCA